ensembl:lncRNA
UUUUUUUUUUUUUUUUUUUUUGCUGACAGGGCCUCGCUCUGUUGCUCAGGCUGGAGCGCAGUGGUGUGAUCUGUCUCACUGAAACCUCCACUUCCCGGGCUCAAGGAAUUCUCCUGCCUCAGCCUCCUGAGAAGCUGGGACUACAGACAUGCCACCACUCCUGGCUAAUUGUUUUGCUAUUUUUUGUAGAGACGGGGGUCUCACCAUGUUACCCAGGCUGCUCUUGAACUCCUGGGCUCAAUCUAUCCACCCACCUUGGCCUUCCAAAGUGUUGGGAUUGCAGGCGUGAGCCACUGUGCCUGGCCUCAGAUCUGCAUUUUAAAGAAUCACUCUGUCCCCAGAGCCACAGCCAUCUAUAGAUGUCUAUAGACAUUAAGGAAAUUUAUCGGACUAGGGAACUGGAAAUCUGGGAUAAGAAGAGAAGGGUUUUUGGAUUGGGCAAUUUGGGUGGCCUCUGGGGUGUUCACCAGGAUGAAAAGUGUAAGUAGAGAACAAACCUUUGUGUUAGGGACAGGUGUCGAGUUCCCCCCUAGAGCUGAAGCGUGGCGGAUCACGGGGCAGCCACGUAAUUUCUAGCGCAGGAGACAUGCCUUUCCUUGCUGAGGCCCCAUCCCACUGAGCACCUGCUCUUCGGUUGCUGGCGCCCUCUCCACUUUGUGUGAAUGUCUCAGGCUUGAUUCCCUGCUUGGCUUUCGUGUGUAUCUCACAGCACAUGACUCUCCUGUAAAUUAAAAGGCAUCUUCUCCACGGACACCCUGGUCUUUCCUCCUGAGCUCCCAGCAUCCUUGUGUAAAUUCCAGGGAAAUCGAGGGUGUAAAACUUGUUCCCGGCCCUCUGGGAGGGGACGGCCCUGGGGAGGGGUGAGAGGUCACCAGCUGCUAACAGCUGCAGUUUGGGGACAGGCUUCCAGGAUGGAAAUGUCUGGGACACACGGGGCUCAGAGCAGGGGCACCCUGGUCUACACUGGGGGUCAGUGGGUCUUCAGAGAGACUGACGGACACACAGGCCUCUUCUCUUCUGGGGGCCAGGAGGAGGGGGAUGCAUCCCAGGAGGCUGGUGGCACCCAGGCAGGACUGCGAACUGAGUGACACAGCCGGAGUGGACGGGCGAGGCGAUGCUGUGUCCACACACGCAAACAUGACACCGGCCUGGUGCGGACGGGCGAGGCGACGCUGUGUCCACACACGCAAACAUGACACCGGCCUGGUGCAGACGGGCGGCGCUGUGUCCACACACGCAAACAUGACACCGGCCUGGUGCAGACGGGCGAGGCGACGCUGUGUCCACACACGCAAACAUGACACCAGCCUGGUGCGGACGGGCGAGGCGACGCUGUGUCCACACACGCAAACAUGAUGCCGGCCACGUCCAUGCCCCAAGCACCUGGGAGAGGCUCUCAGCCUCCACUUGCUGAGUGAGAUCAUCUGCCCAGCAGGAGGAAGACCCAGUUCACCUGCGCCCAGGAUACAGAGGAGAGAAUGUGUGGGAAUGGAUGAGCCUCAGGCAGCGGGCGGGUCGACUGGGCGGGGAGAUGAGAUUUACGUGUGCAAAGUCGGAAUGGAAACGCCUGUGUAAGAGGGCUGAGCAGGACACCGGGAGGAGGCGGCUUCAGAAAGGCAAGGAUGCUCACAGGAUGCGUGUCACGGAGGGUCCCGCACCACCCGGCUGGACUGAGCCUGGGGCCUCAGUGACUGAGGCGGCCAUCGGUCGCCCUGGAGGGAGCGCUGCCUGUGAGUCUAUCCCACAGUGGGUCGGAUCCUGGUCUAACGGCGCCACACCCACGAGGACCCCCAUGGCUGCUGCUACAGAGGCUACAGAGCAGCAGGUGCCAGCAGAUCAGGCGCUCAGGAAGAGUUGAGGAGAAAUCAACGCGGCGUCUUCAAGCUCAGUCAGCGGGAGGACCCCUGGGGAGGGUCCAGCACUCCCGAUUUUCCCAGUACCACUUACUGAAAAGAGUGUGCGUUCCACCGUGCAUGUUGUAUUUGACUUUGUUAAAGAUCCCUUGGCUGUGGAUAUGUGACUUUAUUUCUGGGUAGGACCCCCCUGGAGCGGGAGGGGCCUCUUCCUCCCAGAUGCAAGCCAGAGGCAG